GACGAACGCUGGCGGCGUGCUUAACACAUGCAAGUCGAGCGGAAAGGCCACUUCGGUGGUACUCGAGCGGCGAACGGGUGAGUAACACGUGAGUAAUCUGCCCCUGGCUUUGGGAUAGCCACCGGAAACGGUGAUUAAUACCGGAUAUGACCACUUCUCGCAUGGGUUGUGGUGGAAAGUUUUUCGGCCAGGGAUGUGCUCGCGGCCUAUCAGCUUGAUGGUGAGGUAAUGGCUCACCAUGGCUUCGACGGGUAGCCGGCCUGAGAGGGUGACCGGUCACACUGGGACUGAGACACGGCCCAGACUCCUACGGGAGGCAGCAGUGGGGAAUAUUGGACAAUGGGCGGAAGCCUGAUCCAGCAACGCCGCGUGAGGAAUGACGGCCUUCGGGUUGUAAACCUCUUUCAGCACCGACGAAGCGAAAGUGACGGUAGGUGCAGAAGAAGGACCGGCCAACUACGUGCCAGCCGCCGCCGUAACAC
rnacentral:rRNA from 1 species